UACGUAGGGUGCGAGCGUUGUCCGGAAUUAUUGGGCGUAAAGGACUCGUAGGCGGUUUGUCACGUCGGGAGUGAAAACACCGGGCUUAACCCCGAGCCUGCUUCUGAUACGGGCAGACUAGAGGUAUGCAGGGGAGAACGGAAUUCCUGGUGUAGCGGUGAAAUGCGUAGAUAUCUGGAGGAACACCGGUGGCGAAGGCGGCAUCCUGGACCAACACUGACACUGAGGAGCGAAAGCCAGGGGAGCAAACGGG
rnacentral:rRNA from 1 species